rnacentral:rRNA from 1 species
GAUGAACGCUGGCGGCGUGCCUAAUACAUGCAAGUCGAGCGAACAGAUGAGGAGCUUGCUCCUCUGACGUUAGCGGCGGACGGGUGAGUAACACGUGGAUAACCUACCUAUAAGACUGGGAUAACUUCGGGAAACCGGAGCUAAUACCGGAUAAUAUAUUGAACCGCAUGGUUCAAUAGUGAAAGACGGUUUUGCUGUCACUUAUAGAUGGAUCCGCGCCGCAUUAGCUAGUUGGUAAGGUAACGGCUUACCAAGGCAACGAUGCGUAGCCGACCUGAGAGGGUGAUCGGCCACACUGGAACUGAGACACGGUCCAGACUCCUACGGGAGGCAGCAGUAGUGAAUCUUCCGCAAUAGGCGAAAGCCUGACGGAUCAACGCCGCGUGUGUGAUGUAGGUCUUCGGAUCGUAAAACUCUGUUAUUAGGGAAGAACAAAUGUGUAAGUAACUAUGCACGUCUUGACGGUACCUAAUCAGAAAGCCACGGCUAACUUCGUG